rnacentral:rRNA from 1 species
AUUGAACGCUGGCGGCAGGCUUAACACAUGCAAGUCGAGCGGGGGAAGGUAGCUUGCUACUGGACCUAGCGGCGGACGGGUGAGUAAUGCUUAGGAAUCUGCCUAUUAGUGGGGGACAACAUCUCGAAAGGGAUGCUAAUACCGCAUACGUCCUACGGGAGAAAGCAGGGGAUCUUCGGACCUUGCGCUAAUAGAUGAGCCUAAGUCGGAUUAGCUAGUUGGUGGGGUAAAGGCCUACCAAGGCGACGAUCUGUAGCGGGUCUGAGAGGAUGAGCCGCCACACUGGGACUGAGACACGGCCCAGACUCCUACGGGAGGUAGCAGUGGGGAAUAUUGGACAAUGGGGGGAACCCUGAUCCAGCCAUGCCGCGUGUGUGAAGAAGGCCUUAUGGUUGUAAAGCACUUUAAGCGAGGAGGAGGCUACUUUAGUUAAUACCUAGAGAUAGUGGACGUUACUCGCAGAAUAAGCACCGGCUAACUCUGUGCCAGCCGCCGCAGUAA